rnacentral:rRNA from 1 species
GAUGAACGCUGGCGGCGUGCCUAAUACAUGCAAGUCGAGCGAACGGACGAGAAGCUUGCUUCUCUGAUGUUAGCGGCGGACGGGUGAGUAACACGUGGAUAACCUACCUAUAAGACUGGGAUAACUUCGGGAAACCGGAGCUAAUACCGGAGAAUAUUUUGAACCGCAUGGUUCAAAAGUGAAAGACGGUCUUGCUGUCACUUAUAGAUGGAUCCGCGCUGCAUUAGCUAGUUGGUAAGGUAACGGCUUACCAAGGCAACGAUGCAUAGCCGACCUGAGAGGGUGAUAGGCCACACUGGAACUGAGACACGGUCCAGACUCCUACGGGAGGCAGCAGUAGGGAAUCUUCCGCAAUGGGCGAAAGCCUGACGGAGCAACGCCGCGUGAGUGAUGAAGGUCUUCGGAUCGUAAAACUCUGUUAUUAGGGAAGAACAUAUGUGUAAGUAACUGUGCACAUCUUGACGGUACCUAAUCAGAAAGCCACGGCUAACUACGUG